UAGAUGCGAGAGUAGAGCAUAUCAAUAAGCGGAGGAAAAGAAACUAACUAGGAUUCCCUUAGUAACGGCGAGUGAAGCGGGAAGAGCUCAAAUUUGAAAUCUUCAAGGUUCUACCUUGACGAAUUGUAGUUUAAAGAAGUGUUUUCUGUUGGAGUUUUGGUAAAAGUUCUUUGGAAUAGGACAUCAUAGAGGGUGAGAAUCCCGUAUUUGACCAUUAUUUCCAGCUGUGUGAUACACUUUCAAAGAGUCGGAUUGUUUGGGAAUGCAGUCCAAAAUGGGUGGUAAAUUUCAUCUAAAGCUAAAUAUUGGCGAGAGACCGAUAGCGAACAAGUACCGUGAGGGAAAGAUGAAAAGAACUUUGAAAAGAGAGUUAAACAGUACGUGAAAUUGUCAAAAGGGAAGCGUUUGACACCAGUGUUGUUUUCUCGAAAAUCAAUUAAAAAAAGUUGGAUUUUGUGUUUGUAUGGCCCUAACAGCUUCUUUCACUUUUUUCCUGCUUUUUUUAAUGCACUUUUCGUUUAACAAGUCAACAUCAGUUUCUUUUGUUGUAAAAAGGUCAUUGGAAGGUGGCUUUCUUUUCGUAGAAAGUGUUUAUAGCCUUUGACUCCUGCAAUCGGAGAGACUGAGGUCUGCAGCGUAGAUCCUUCGGGGUUAGAUACAUUUGUGCUAAGUUAUAGCUUUUCAUAGACAACUUGUUGACUAUGUUUAGUCAUGUAGCUUACUCGCUUAUGCUAUUUUACCUACGCUUAGGAUGUUGAAGAUGUAGCACAUCAU
rnacentral:rRNA from 1 species